rnacentral:lncRNA from 1 species
AUUGGUAAAUUUUAUGAUUUUUUUUUCUCUAAUUGUGAUUUGAUUUGAUUUUCGUUUUCUACUUUAUUGAUUUCUAUUAUUUUUUUCGAUUUUUGGUUUUGAGAAAGCCCAAUGAUGGAAAAUCUAUGUAUAUUGAGCGGCUGUGAUGGUUAUAGAUUCAUCCGUUGCCUUUAUGCAUCACCUGAAUAUCAGCGGCAACCGCCAUUCUUUCUCCCUUUCCUUGUCUCCUUCAACAUCACACACUAAAGCACACUUGCACUUUUGCCGCUGAUGUUUAUGGUGAUGUAUGAAAGGCUUCUGAUGAGUUCCAUCACGAUUUAGCUGUCUGUGAUUUUGAAGCUAUGAGAUCUGAGGGCUCUUUUACAGUUUUAUUUCUCUCAAAUAUUCAGUACAGAUACAAUCCCCUUUGUGGGUGUAUAAAUUUGCAUAACCACUAAUUAUUUGUAAUUGCUUGUGUUUUGUAUAAUUAAUGUGAAUUUUUAAAAUAGGGUUCGAGUGAUUUUAAAUGUCUUACAGUUCAUAAACUAAUGAAAUCAAGUUUAUCUGACAUAUAAUGAGCAAAUUACAAAAAAUUUAUUCAAUAAUUAUUAUAUUUAAAUUAUAAUUUUGUUAUUUGACUACUCUUCCAUAAAGCAUAGGAAGAUUUUGCGCACACGACAACGAGAAAAAACUGAUUAUGAUUAAAAAAAUGUUUUGUAUAUUGAAUGGUGUAAAUAAUAUUUAUUAAAUUACGGGUUAUCUCAAACCUUAUAUGAAAUAAUAAAAAAAAAAUCGAUGAUUGAUAUUUUAAAAAACUAAAAGCAUUACUGGAAUCACUCUCUGUCUGCACCUUUUGGUAGCCAUUGGUUUUGCAUCACGACGUUCCAAAGAGUAACGCUGCCGCAACAAGUAGUUUUAAUAGUGAUUCCCAUUUUUGCUACUCUAGCAUCAGUUGGGAGCCUAUCUUAACUCAUCCCAAAAUUUUUUAUGAAACAGAGAGAACGAUGAGCAAGAAGAAAGAAUUUUAAUUUUUUGGAUUGUUACACUAGGAUUUUGAAUUCUUGAUAAUAAUUUUGAAUGGAAUAACGUAUUUUGUGAAAUUUUAAUUUAAUUUUCAGUUUUUCUCCUUAAUUAGUGGAACAAAUAGAUACUAUAAGAUUAUAAAUUGAUUUUAAUGUUUUUUUUCUCUUAAUAAGUGCAAUACUAUAAGAUUAUAAAUUGAUUUUAUACUUUUUUUCUCUUAAUAAGUGCAACAGAGAUAGAAAGUAAUUUAGAAUUUACACUAUGGUAUUUAUGUAAUGUAUACUUGAUAUUUUAUGAGUCACGUCGGGCUAGUCCAUUUUUGGUGUGGACUUAAAAAUAGUCGGUUCAACCUACAAACAUGUGGGCUAGGCUGGAUGGGCCAAACUAUUUUUAAAAAAUUAUAUAUUUUUUAAUUUUAAUCUAAAUUACAAAUUAUAAUUUAAAAAUAUUAUCAUAAAUAUCAAUAAAAUAAUAUCACACGAUGUUAAUGUUACUACUUUUUAAUCAAAUUCACGAAUAAAAUUGUCUUUAUAAAAAUAUUUGUUAAGGUAAGUUACCAUUUUAAAAAGGGAAAAAUGGUCUGAUAUACCCCUCAACUUUGUCAUUUAGAGCUGAUAUACCCCUUGUUAUGAAAGUGACUCAUAUAUACCCCUACUUGUAAACACAUGGCUCUCAUAUACCCUUUUCCUCUAACGGAAAUGAAAAAAAUAAUAAUUUUAAUCUAAAUUUUUAUUAUUUUUUUCUAAAAAAUAUAAUCCCAUAUGAGUAAAUUUAAUCCUCGUCAAACAUAUUUUUUUUUGACUUUUUUUUGUUUCAGUGACUAAUUUAUAAUUAUUAUUUUGAUAAUCAAAUUUAUUUAUGUUUCACUAAUUAAAACUUAUUGUAGAUGACCAAAUUUUUUCUUCGAAUAUAAAAUUAAAUUACAAUACACACAUAAAAAAAUAGUUUAACUUUUUAUUCUUUAAACUAAGGAAUGAAAGAAAAAAGACAAAAUAAGAAUAAGAAAUUCAAAUAAUUAUAAUAAAAGAAGUCAAAAAAUAAUUUAUAUAUGAAAAAAAUUAAAAUAUACCUUGAACUUUGAUAGAAGAAUCAUAUAAACCCCUAAAUAAUUUUUUUAAAAAAAUUAGAAGUAAUAAAUAUAAAUUUAAAACUAAUUUUUUAACUUCCAUUAAAUGAAGGGUAUAUGUGAGCCAUUUUGUAACGGCAGGGGUAUAUGUGAGCCGUUUGUAUAACGGUAAGGGCAUAUAUGAGCCACUUUUAUAACGAGGGGUAUAUCAGCUCCAAAUGACAAAGUUGAGGGGUAUAUCAGACCCUUUUCCCUUUUAAAAAGGGAAAAAUUAUACGGAUAAGCAAACUUAUAUUAUCUAAUUACUCAUCACAGCUAUAGUUUGCUAUAAUUACCACUCGCGACUAACAUUAUACAUUAAUUACGUGGGCUAACUUCGAAUUUGUAUAAUUAGUCAUUUUUGUAUAUGUAUAAUUUCUCAGAAUAUACAAAUAAAUAUGCAUAAUAUACAAGUUUUUAGUCUAUACACAUAUAUAAUUCACCGCUCUCCCACACUCUACCCUCUCUCGCUUGCCUCUCUCCUCUCUCUCCUAGUCACGCUUGCCUCUCUCCUCCCUUUCGCAAUCUCUCUUGCCAUAUAUACAAUUACAUAUGUAUAAUAUACAAUUAUCUAACAAAUAUACAUAUAUAAUUAACCUUUCUCCCACUCUUUUCCCCCUCUCUCUCGUCUCUCUCCUCUCUCUUCCAGUCUCACUCGCCUCUCUCCUCUAAAUAACAUGUAUCUAUAAAUUGUAAUUAUCAAAUUAUAACUAUGAAGAGUAAAUUAUUAUUUUUUUAAGUGGCUAUAUGUGAAAGUUUCCCAUUAAAAAAAUUUAUUAAGUUUUUUUUAAGUAUGAAUAGUUAUAUAGAAAUAUUAACCUAAUUGUUUUGAGUUUAAACUCUCUUUAAUUUUAGGGCAACUUUCACAUAUAGCAAAUAAAAAAUUUAUAUUUGUAUGUUAUAGCAAAAUUUGCAUAAUUGCGCUCCAUAGCAAACAUAGAAAUUGUAUAAUUCGCUAUACAAAUACAGUUGAAGCAAAUUGUAUAAAACGAAGUGUAUAAAACAAGAAAGAGAAGAACACUUUGGCAGAGAACUGUAUAAAAACAAAGUGUAUUAUCAUAAGUGUAUAGAACAGUUAUAUACAAUUUGAAUUUGUAUAAAAUGAGAAAGAGAGAAAGACAAAACAGACUUGACAAGGAAUAUACAAUUGAAUCGAAUUGUAUAAAACAAGAAAGAGAGAAAUUAGAUACAAUUUGAAAAUUGUAUAAAACAAGAAAGAGAGCAAGCAAAAGAAACUGGACAGAGAAGUAUUUUAUUGUAUAAUUAUAAGUGUAUAGGACGAAAAUAUAUGUACUUGCAUGUGUAUAUACAAUUUUCUCGCGCUUUAUACAAACAGAAAACGCAAUUUAUACAUUUCUCUUCUGUUUGUAUAAGUGAGAAAGGCGAGGGUGGCGAGCGAGAUUUGGGAGAGUGGCGACCGAGAUCUAGAAGAGGGGAGAGAGGGGAACAAAAAUAUAUGUAUUUAUACAAUUUUCUCUGCUUUAUACAAUUAGAAACAAUUUUUAUACGCUUGUGUUUUGUAUAAAAAGUGAGGAAGCGAGCGGAGAUUGGAGGAGAAUGUCGAGAGAUAUUUGGGAGAGAGGCCAUGACAAUUUUCUGCAAACGUUUGCUAUGGAGCACAAUUAAAUCAAACCCUAGCUACUCCAUUUAUUUUAGGUUAUUAGUUUGUUAUUAUAUAUAAUUUUUCCUUAAUUUUAUUAUAUUUUUCAAUUAAAUUUUAUUGGCCCACGAUCCGGCCCUACCGAUAUUUCUCAAGCCUCUCAAAUCAACAGACUUAUUCAAGACGGGCUAAAAAGCCUUUUUCUUAAAUGGGUUCCAAAAAUCUUAGCCCAGCAUUACUAAAUUUCGGGUCAGGCCGGCCCAACGGUCCUAGCCCAUAUUGACGGCUCUACAGAGGCUGAUAGGUCUAAGCUCUGAGAGGUGCUGUGGAAAACUCACCUUGAGAAUAAGAACAAUAUUUGAGUGAGUGAACCUUAUAGGCAAGGUAGAUCCACAAAAGUAAGCAUUCAUGGUUUGAGUGAUAUCAGGGCCAAUAAUCGACCAACAACUUGGAAAAAAUUUAGCACUGAAUCCAUCCGGUCCUGGGGCGCUAUCUGGAUCCAAAGAGAAAACGGUUUCUUUGAUCUCUUUGUUAGUAGGAAACGCAGUCGACAACCUAUUGGUGUCAUCUAUAAUAGAGGCUUCAAUGAAAUUCAGUUAUGAGAAAUCAUUCCUAUCAGGAUUCUGGCAAAAAAUGCCUUGAAAGUAUUUCACAGCUGCUUCAGCUACCCCCUUGUUUCCUUUUACCCAUUGCCAAUGUUCAUCUUGGAUCUUGUUGAUUUGAAGUCUUCUUCUUUUGUCUUUCAAACAUUAUGAAAAUAAGAGUUGGUGUCACCCUCAGUAAACUACUUGACUUUUGCCUUUUGUCUCAUGAUAGAAUCUUGAAUUUUAAGAUACUUGCUGUGAUUAGCCUUAUGUGAUGUUCCGCCACAAUUCCAGCCUGAUUUGGCGUCCGAAUAUGAGCAGAAGGAUCUAGAGUUGUGAAGAGGUUUGCAGAGAACUCUAGAACCUUCUAGAUUUCUGGAGAAGACUAGAGAAUUCUCUAGAAUACUUUAGAUACUUUUGAAAGAGAUUAGCAUAUUCUAGAAAGUGUAGAAUUCUCUAGAAUAUGGACUAAAAUGUAAAUAUUUUAGGGACUUGUAGAGUAAUUUUUAUUUACACUUAGACCCUUAGGAGGUAGUAUAAAUAGAAGGGCCUCUCAUUUGUAAAUGCAUCCAACCAAAACAAAAUUGUAAGCAAGUUUUCCAAGUAUAAUACAAGUCUUCUUCCAAAGUUCUUUCUAAGUCAUUCUUUACAUUCUCUUAAUGAUCUAAGUCUUAAAGUCUUACUUGAGCUUACAAGAUCGUGAAAUAUUCGUGAGUAAGUUGUCAAGUGCCGCACGGAGUCUUAGCAAAUACUCUAAGUCCGUGACACUUAACCUUUUUCAAAUUGGUUCUAUUGGUAUCAUUAGUCCCCGCUAGAUUGACUUGUUCAAGAUCCACAAUGUCCUUUUCAAGCUUUUUGGUCUCGUUAUAGAUAUUACCAUAAACUUCUCUAGACCAGUUGCUCAACCUCGAGGCUGUAGUUUUGAGCUUUUGGUGUAUGCUCCACAUUUUGGAUUACCUUGAACCUCAAGUAGGCAAGCUUCCUUGACAACGUCCAGGAAUAACUCAUGUUUUGUCCAGACAUUAAGAAAUUUGAAAUAUUUCUUAUGCUCGUCUUCUUUGUCAUUAAGUUUGAUCAAAAGUGGAACAUGAUGUGAGCAAACCCUUGCCAAGUGAGUGACUGAUGUUUUUCCAAACCAAGAAGCAUUGUAUAACAUCCUGUCCAGCUUUUUCAAACUGUAUUGGGAGCCCCUCUAUUAUUGCUCCAAGUGAAUUUAGCCGCAUCCUGGAUCCCCGAAUCAAUCAUACAGUUGAGGAAGUCAAAACUUUUCCCAAUUUCUAUAAGGAAUGCCGCCUUCUUUUUCAUUAACAGAACCAAUAACAUUAAAGUCACCAACUGCUGUCCAAGGACCUUGGAUUAUUGAGGAUAGAGUUGACUUCAGAGAUCUUUUCUUAGAGUGUCUUCGCACUUAGCAUAAAUAGUAGCAAUGUGGAUCACAUUACCAUUAGGGAGGACAAUUUUGCAAGUUAGUUCAAAAGAUCCAAAUUUUAUUAUUGCUGCUCACUUGUUUUACAUUUUCCAAAUCACAGAUGUAAAAUAAAACCAUAACAGUUGUAUAAAUAUUUAACUAUUGAAAGACAAAUUAAUUCUUGCAUAAUAUUUUCUUAAUUAAUGUUUAUUCAUUUUUUAAUUGACUCACCUAUUAAAAAAAUAAUUAUUGACAUAAUAAGUUAAUUAUGAAGUGAAUAAAUCAAAAUUUUAAGAUUUUAAAAAAGUUUUAUCUUUUUUAAAACAAUUAAUUAAGAGUAUGAUAAGUAAACAAAAUUGUUCUUUCUUGAUUUAUCAAAAUGAACAAGUAAUUUGAAAUAAUUAUCUAUUUUUGGUGUGGAUUAAAAAAUGAUUGGUCCAGGGCUGGCUUGUCGAGCCAACCCACCUUUUAAAAAUAUAUUUUUUAGGACAAAAAAAUAUGCGGUUAAGCAAACUUAUAUUACUUAAUUACUCAUCAUAAUUAUAGUUUGUUAUAAUUAUCGCUCGCGACUAACAUUAUAUAUUAAUUAUGUGGACUGACAUUGAGUUUGUAUAAUCAGCCACAUCAAUCUAUAUUAUAAUUCGACGGAAUAUAUAAAUAUAUAUGUAUAAUAUACAAUUGUCUAAUAUAUAUAUAUAUAUAUAUAUAUAUAUAUAUAUAUAUAGACACACACAAUUCACCUCUCUCUCGCUCUUUCAAUCUCACUCGCCUCUCUCCUCUCUCUCCCAACCUCGCUUGUUUUUUUUUAUACAAAUGCAUAUGUAUAAUACACAUAUUAAUUCACCCCUCUCCCACUGUCAGCCCUCUCUUGCUUGCGUCUCUCCCAAUCUCGCUCGCCUCCCAAUCUCGCUCUCCGCUCUUCUCUAUCCUCUCUCUCCCAAUCUCACUUGCCAUAUAUUCAAGUAGAUAUGUAUAAUAUACAAUUAUCUAACCAAUUUACAUAUAUAAAUCACUUCUCUCUCGCCUCUCUCCUCUCUAUCGCAGUCUCGUUCACCUCUCUAUUCCCUAUUAUACGUAGCCACGAAUUGAAAUUAUUAAACUAUAGCUAUGGAGGAUAAUUAAGCUAUUUUUAGUGGCUAUGUGAAAGUCCCUUUUUAUAAUUAUUAAAUUAAAAUAUAAAUUAUAAUAUAAAAAUAUUGUCAUAAAUAUCGACAAAACAAUUUACAUGAAGUUUUUUAUUAAGUUUUUUCUCAAGCAAAAGUAGAAAUAUAUAAAUAGAAAUAUUUUUUUUUAAUAAAUAGAAAUAUUAACUUAAUUAUUUUGAGUUUGAACUCUAAAAUUUAAUAUUAUAUUAUAUUUUUAAUUAAUUUUUAUUGACCUACGAGCCGACCCUACCGAUAUUUUUGAAGCGCCAUAAAUAGUAGGCUUACUCAGGCCAGGCUAGAAAAUGUUUUUUCUUAAAGGAAAUCUUACAUAAAUGUACAAUAAUAAGAAAAUAUUUACCAUUAUAACAAUUUUUUUCUUCACUUGAUCACUUUUAAUUCAUUUAUAAUACAAGUUUAACAUAUAUUACAAAGAUCAAUUUAUUAUCAUAUACAGUACAAGUUUUAAUGAUGGAUAAUACAUUUAUCACACAUUUUAAUACAAUUAUUAUACAAUGUGUCAAAUUUUUACCAAACAAACAUAAUAUAUUUUGAAAAACAAUUAUGAUUCAUCUAUAUUGCAUAAAUAAUUCACUUUUAAUAGAUUUUGUAGAUAUAACAUAGUAUUGCUAUAAAUGGUAAUAAAUAAAAAGUAUCGCUAAAAUCAUUAAUUAUUUAUUAAAAUGUGUCAAUCGAUGUAAUUUUUCCUUUUUUAAAUGAGUUCCAAAGAUAUUAUUUCAGCCCUAUUAAAUUUUGGGUUAGGUCAGGCCGAUCCAAGAGACAUAAUCCAUAUUGACGACUCUAAAUAGAAGUAUUAUUUUUUUCUCUAAUUAUAUAAAAUUAUGCGUAAUAUAAUGCGAAAAAAUAUAAUAAUUUUAAACAUAAAUCAACUAUAAUUAUAUAGAAAUAAAAAAUAAAAUAAAAUAUAACCAAACUUAUUAGAUAUGCUAAAUAAUUAAUAACAGUUAUAUUGAUGAACAUGAUAUUCUAGUGUUGGCAAAAAUAAUUUUUUGUUUCUACUAGUAUUUUCAAAUAACAGAUUUGUUUUGCUUCACUCAACAACAAAAGUAAAACCAAUACCGUUUCCAUUUAAAUAAAAGGGCAACUUUCAUAUAUAGCAAAUAUAAAAUUCAUAUUUGUAUGUUUUAAUAAAGUUUGCAUAAUUUCGUUUCGUAGCAAACAUAUAAAAGUAUAAUUCGCUAUACAUAUACAGUCGAAACGAAUUGUAUAAAACGAAUUAGAGAUAAACUAUAUACAAUUUGAAUUUGUAUAAAACGAAAAAGAGAGAAAGACAAAAGAAGCUGGGCAGGGGAGUGUUUUUAUUGUAGAAUUAUAAGUGUAUAGGACGAAAAUAUAUAUAUUUACAUAUAUAUUUGCAUGUAUAAAUAUAUAUGCACACAAUUUUCUCUCAAGUUAUACAAACAGAAAUGCAAUUUAUACAUUUCGUUUCUGUUUGUAUAAGUAAGAGAGGCGAGGGUGGCGAGCGAGAUCUGAGAGAGGAACAAAAAUAUAUGUAUUUAUAAAAUUUUCUUUCGAUUUAUACAAAUACAAACACAUUUUACACAUUCGUAUUUGUAUAAAAAGUAACAGAGGCGAGCGAUACUGUCACUAAAAAAGAGUGGCGAACAAGAUUCCACCAAAGAGAGUGUCAAAAAUAGCUAUAUUUUGCUGUAAGGUAUAAGUAAAUCAAAAUACUUAAUUUAAAUUAAUAAUUUAUUAUUAUAUACAAUUCUCACUAAAUAAAGUCACUUAUAUUAAUUUGCGAAAAUACAUUAUUUUCAACAAAAAUACUUUUUUGAAAAAUACGUGUCUCCGCAAUCCCAAACAGGGUUUGUUGAUGUUUGGGGUCAGGGACUUGACGAAGAGCUUCAACAAAAGUUUGAAGUUGAAGCAGAGAAACUGACAAGUAAUGUUGGAGUUGAAGGCAAAGUUUUUGAAGAAAGCAGUGAUUUCUUCCACUCUAAUUGAGCAUCCAUCCCCUGCCAAUCUUCAGUCUACUCGUCUUGCCAUUCAUGUCCGUUAAUUCCCUUUUCUCAAAAUUCAGUUUUUUAUUUUGUGCAUACCCAAUUCAAUCUAACUGUUUCUCCUUUUUUUUUUUUGAGAGCAGAUGAAUGAUGAUAAUGAUUCUUCUUGUUGGGUUUACAUUGCAUCUGGCUGCCGCAUUUAUAAAGUUCUUGUAAGUCCUUUCCAUAAUGUCUUUGUACACGUAUAUAAUGAUGUAUUAUUAUUCAGUCUAGUCCUUUUGCUUUGUCUAUUGAAUUCCAGUAAGCUUAAUUGAGUUGCAAUCAUUCUAAGUGAUUGUGAUUUCAACACUCAUGUCUGAGAUGUCCUCCACACCUAUUUGCGCUUCUUGUUCGGGAGGUAAAUUACAAGCUAAUGGACGAUUCAGAAUUUUCACUAAGGGGCUCAAAAAAUAAAAAUAUAGUGCUUUGAGAUUUCAGUUCGGAACCUAAAAGAUUGAAUUUUGAAACUCCCUAAACAACUAAGCCAGCCUGUAGUCUUGUGUGCAAGGGAUUCCAAGUCUAUAUAUACACUAAAAAAAGAACUUUAUAUACAUAAGUGUAAUAUUUGUCAAGGGUAUUCAGAUGAACACCUUGCCCCCUCCUAGAUCAGACCAUGGCUAUAAAGAGACAGAGAGAUAGAUUGAGGUUGAGGGGAGGAGCUGAAUAAGCUGCUUUGUUAUACCACUUUGUUCUUUGUACUUAUCUGGUCUAUAUAUGAUGAUAAGUUCAUAUUGACUUCACAAACAUGCUUGAAGGCUAUUAGUUGCAUAAACCUAAAUGUGUUGAUAAACAUGUUGGAUUAAGAAGCAACGGAUGUUCAAUUUGUUUUCAUUUUCACUGUACAGAUUCCAAUGGAAAAUUCAUUGCUCAAUCUAGGAAAGGAGGACCUUCUAAUUCCUGAACAAUGUGAGGUACACUUGCCAUUUCUUAUAUCAUGAUGAAAGAUGUUAAGUGUGAAGUAGCUUACUAGUAUUGUUAAUUUGAAGGUUCUAGAAGCUUCAGUGGUCAAUCGUUGCCCGCAUCGAUCAGAAAUCCAAAGUAUAGUGCUAGCUGAAACUGAAAGUAAGAUAUGAAGAUAUUUACCUUUUGAAUUUUUGCAGCCCUUCGCGAUAUUCUGAAAAGCUUGUUGUUAUUAUUUCCUUAUUCUGAAUUAUCUUUUUAAUUAAUAAGAGAGGGAAAGAUAACAUAGAAAUAGUGACAGAGAAGAGGAAAUUUUGGAAAGAAAGACAAAUAGCCUGCUAUAUCAUCAUAUCAUUAAAUCGUAAAUCUUUUGUCGUAUCUUUUUUUAUAUAAGUUGGCAUUGCAUCAUGCGUAUGGUCCUGUAUAUUGAAGGGCUUUCUACCACUUCUUCAAGAACUUGCUGCUAUUGUUCCUACUAACUUCCCUAGUUUUUAGCUGCUCGGUCCUUAUUGCUACUACUGUCCAUUAGUUUGCAUGUAGUUUCUUUUAUGUAUUUGAAGUAGCUAAUCUUUACCUUUCAACAGCUUAAUGAUCUGUCUAGUUCUCUACAGGCUCUGGUUGCUCAAUGCUGGGAAGCGUGGAUUCUUAUGGUCACCUUAUUGUCUCUAGAUUGGAUGCCAAUGGUGACGGUAUCUCUCCUAUUUAUUUCUCAGUACUUAGCUGAACAGUGAUGGAUUCUGUUAAAAAUUAGCAUAAUUUUGGAGUUGAAAUUUUGGUUUACCUCUGUUAAACCUAUUUUUUUUCCAUUUAUAUAGGCGUAAUGCCACAGUUAGUUAAUAACUAAAUUUACCAAUUAUGGGGUCUGAUGUGCUCAUUUAAUAGUUUGGUUUUGCUACUUACAAUUUCACGAAGUAUCUUCAGUAAAGAUGCUAUAUUUAAAUUACUAUUACCUGGCAUAUAAGUGAAAUAGUGUACCAACUUGAUUUGAGAAACUUAUGAUCUUGCUAAUUUGAGUAGAUCUAAGAAAAAUUGUUAUUGACAUGGACCACCCAUGACUUUUACCGAUGAGUUAUUCCCACAUUUACUCUAGCAUGAUAUUUAGGUUACAGCUUGAUGAAUUCCUCAUAUUCUAGAUGUCAACGGGCUUACGUAUUCUGUCUCUCCUCGAGAUUGUGGUGUUGGAGAAGGUAGCUGGGCAGGCCUGUGCUUCAAUCCCACUCAACGAUCCAUGGUAUUUCAUCUCAUAUGUCUCCUAGGUUGGAGUCUGUAAUCAUUAAUGUUGAUGCUUCACAUCUGCAGCUUCUGCCUGUUCACUUUGAAGCAAGUAAUUGUGCCCGUGGGUGCAAAAUAGAGGCAGUUGGUGUGGAGGCGAGGCCUUGUCCUUGUCAGCUGACUAGUUUGCAAUCUAUUUCUUGUUGUGUAUUUACUAUCGUGCUUCAAUGUAUCUUGUGUCCUUUGCCUGAGAUUCUUCCAGAUACACUAGUCUGCGUUUUUUUGACCUCUACCGUUUACUAAGAAAUUUGAAAUGAUGGUAUUGGCUAGCACCCGAAUAUCCUCAUCUCUGAAUGUGCCAGUGCCUGUUUUUAUUUUUUUUGCUCCGUGUGAACUGGCUUACUAAGCUACACAACUUGUUGGUCAGUAUACCUGAUUAAAACAAUGGGUUAUUCUGGUAUUAUAUUGGCUAUUCAAAUGAACUUUAAUGCACCUUCUUUUUUUCCCUGAAACUUGUGAGUUGUGACAGUAACUCUAAGCACUUUUAAGUUGAUGAUUUGAACCUUAAAGGAAAAUGAGACGGUUGAUUUUUUUCUUCUGCACAAUCAUUUUUUUCCCUUUUUAACAUCCUCUCUGCGCGCGCGCGUGUCUUGGAAAGUGUAAGUGUUUCAUUUGUGGCAUAUUUCUUGCCUUCUGCCUGAAUUUCAGUAUUUCUGGCCUUUUCCCUCAGGCAGCUGUGGCUCACAGUUUCUCUAAAACCAUUGAUGUCUAUGACCAAGAUAUUCAUGUCCGCACCUUACGUCCGUAAGUGCUUAUCUUUGCUUCGGAGACGGUAGAUCAUUUACAGUAUAAUCUCAAGCUUUUCAUUUAUUUUUUGCUACUAUGCUUUCCAUUUUUGAGAUACUGUUUAUAUGUAUAGCAGCAAGUCACAAAAAAUCGUACAUCUAGUUCAUAUAUCCUUUCUAGACAGUCUGGACUGUUUUAUUCUCACUUGGAGGCAUUGCUAGACUACUACUACCAUGGAAGCUUUUCUGCUACUUUGGGCCUUUUAAGCAAUGUUGUUAAUAAAAAAGAAAACCAGUAAAACUAUUUCCUGAUGCUGAUUUAAGUACUCGUAACAGAUAUAAACAAAUCUGAAUAAUGGUUUCUGCAAACCUUCUUUUUGUGGAUUAAUUACUGUUUCCAUAAAGACAAUUUGACUGUUCUAUAUUUCUAGAGCUCUUAUAUGCAUGACUUGAGUCCUAAGUUUGCAUCUUUUCCUUUGUGUAGGGAUUUGUGUUGGCAUGUCUUUAGAUCUUAAUAUAUAAACCAAAGAACAAAAGAAAUCAAAAGAAAAUGCUUGGCAAUAGCUAUCGUGUAGAAGAAGGUCCACAAAAGUAUCUAAGAAACAAUUUAUAGAAUUGGUUGUACCUGGUUUUAUGAAAGAUUAUAAUUGACAUUUAUCUUUGAAAAGGGGGCGGGGGGUGGGCGGUUCAAUAAUCAAGGAUUCAAUCAUAAGCCUUCUAUUGUUGAAAACCAUCUCUUUGUUGCUCUGGUAUUAUUGAAAGCCAAAGAUUUAGUGUUAGAGGAAGAGAAUAUUCAAAAUGCUGAGGCACUACUGAAACUGUAAGAUCUAGCCAGGUUGGAAGAAAUAACUUGCGGCAGAAGUCUUGGUGCAUAUGGAUCCCACAAAGGUGAUAGGAACAUAUGGAUCAUUGAUUGAUGGAGGAUUGGCUGAAGAUCAGGAAGCCAUAAAAGAAGAGAUAUGAAGUAAUAAUCUAUUUAAAGAACCUGUCAAAUAGAGACUCUGCUUUGGACAGAAGAUAACCCCAAAUUUUACGAGGAAGAAGAGGACCGGUUCCAAAGAUUUCUAGUGAAUAGGCGGAGGACAAAGCAAUCAAAAUGUGAAGGUAGCUAAGCCCCUAGCCCUAAUGGUCUCACAAUGUCUUUUGACCAUAAUUGGCAGCCCAUAAUUAGGAGGCGCCUUCUGCAUGCAGUCCACAUACCUAAGAAUAAUGAGGUUGAAAAACUUGAGCACUUUAACAGUAGUAAUUCCAAAAAAAAUUAUUUAAAGAAGAGGAUUUUAAGCCUGUCAACCUAGUGGGGAGCUUCCACAAUUCAUCAUUAAGUUGCUUCAAAAUCUCAAAAAUGUUAUGAAGAAGCUCAUGGCUGAUACACAAACAACUUUCAUAAAAAGGGAGUCUAUAGAUUGUAUGCAUUACUGCCCAAAUCACAAAUGAAUGCUUAGAGAGAAGGAGGCAAGUAAAGCUGGGGUAAUCUAUAGAAAAAGGUUUCAAUCAUGUUAAUUGGAGUUCUCUGUUCUGAUAAGAGAAUGGUCUUCACUGAAACGGAUAAACUGCAUCAGUUAGUGCAUUUCUUUGUUAUAAUGAUAGUUGAUGAUAUUACUUUGAUACUAAAGUAAGCCAUGCACUUGACAUUGAUCUGUCACUUUUACAUUGAGAGAGGAAGUGUCAAUUGUUUUGGCCAUCUCUCACCUUACCUUAUAUAGGCUGAUGACAUUCUCAUAAUAUGUGAUACAGAUAAUAGACAGGUUGAGUAUAUAGAAAUCAUCCAUCAUUGGUUUUGGCCUUCUCUAGAUUUUAUAAUUUAUAGAAAACUGGAGAAAAGUUUCCUCUUUCCUGAAGUUCAGAAACUUGAGAACUGGCUGUCAAUUUGGGAAGUAAUAUUGGAUCUUUAUCUAACUAUGUACUUUAGCAUAUGCCUUUGGUGUGACCUUUAAAUGAGUGUACAUCUGUAGUGGAGUCAUUGAAAAUGUAAGGAAGAAGCUGUAAUUGAAAAAGGCAAUCCUUUUGUUAUGUGGGAGACUGACUUUAAUAAACAGUAUGAUGGAUGCUUCCCCAAACCAUGCAAUUAUCUUUAUUCCUAUGCCAGAAUGGAUAGAGGAAGACAGGGCUAGAAGAAAUUUCUUAUGGGAAGAGAACAAAAAGAAAAGUAGUUCUAUCUAGACAGUCUCCAUAUGAAAGCUAUAAUUUAUGUUGGUACCUAAGUUAGUGAGUAUGAGUUGGUUGUUCACAGGUUGCAGUAUGUAGAAGCUUUAUUAUCGUAGAUUGCAUUUUUAACACACGUGGUCUUUCAGAUAACAAAUAUUUAAUUUGUAAUAUUUUUUUUUUGGCUUAAAUAUAUUUGAGGAAUUUAUUCAAAGAAAAAAAAUCACAUUGCAGAUUGUGGCAUCCAUCUUCACUUAUGUUCAUGCAAAAUUUGGACUUAGGUGGUGGAAAUUCUGUAUUAGCAGUUGCAGAAGGUUGCCAGGUAAUGUUUCUAUGUUAUUUUGUUUCUUAUGUUAGAAUCAUGCAGAGAAUGUCUUGUUCUUUACUGAUUCUUUUCAUUCUCUGCACUCCAUACUGGCUUCAGCUGACAAUAUGGGACUUGCGAAUGAAAGAAAAGGGUGGUUGUGUGCGUCGAAUCUGUGGAUCUGUAGGAGAUAACUUGUAUGCAGUCUGUAAUUCUUCAAAAGGUACUAUUGCAGCUGGUGGAGCUGAUCGUACUGUGACUGUCUAUGAUCCUCGCAGGUAGUCUUCUCUUAAGGCUUUACUUUGCUUUUACUGGUUGUUCUAGUGUUUAUCUUACAGUGUGCUUGUGUACUUGAUCAAAUUUCAGAUAACCUGGAAUAUGCCAUGUUAAGUAAUUUGUUCUUGUUUGUUGUCUCAUACAUUUCUCGUCUUGUGUAUUCUUUUGAAAGGAAUAUUGCCAGUUAUAGCUCUAGGAUAUGUUCACGCUUAGAAAUUAUAUUGAAAACUGCAAUUUUCUCAGCUUUCUGUGUUUGCUUCAGAGUCCUGAUGGGUAACAUAGUUUCCGGCAGGUUUGGUUGGGUAAGAGGGUUGAUCUUUUUUUGCAACACACUGAUACAAUAUACAUUUCUAUUACAGAUGGUCAGCAGUGUCGAGAUGGCUAAACUGCUCUAAGUAUGAGGUUAAUCUUGUCCUCCCCCCUCUUACUCUCUCUCUCACUCACACACACACACACACAUAUACACACAUUUAUUUGUAUAUUAGUAGUUGUUUCUGUCAAUAAGGUAUCGAAGGAAUUUCUAAAAAGAAGUCCAGCCAAUAGUAUCCUUGUCUCAAGUGAGGCCACAAUUGAAGUUGUCUGGUCAAAAUUUUCUUUCAUCUCAUUUUUCGUUGCUUAAAUCUCAAGUAACAUUCUUUCUGGGUUCUUUUUCCAUAUCCUUGUUGUGCAUCUUUUCUUUCAUGAUUCUUUUAUUACACCUAUGCUUUGUGUUAUAAUUACUAAAAUGUCUCAUGCUGUUACAGAUAACUGGACUUGCUUUCUCUUCCGUUGAUCCUGAAUAUGUCUAUGUACAAGGCGUUGACUACGAGGUGACUAUUUCACAACUUACCUUUUAUAGUUUUCAUGAAUCUUAAAUAGAGAAUCUGAGUUUCAUCUUUACUCCAGCAUAUAUCCUCCCUUCCAUAAAACGUAGUACUCCAUAGAUCCAAGUCAUCCAACAUUGAUGUAAAAUUUCAGAACAGCUACUAGACGUUUACAUGAAUCUUAUAUAGAGAAUCUGAAUUUCAUCUUUACUCCAUCACAUAUCCCUCUUUCACUAAAACAUAGUAUUACCUAUAUCCAAACUUGACGUAAAACUUCAGCACAGUUACUAGACAUUCCUUGAAAGGAUGUUCAAACUCUUUUUUCGUUAUUCCAACUUGUAACCUCAUUUCCUUUAAACAUAGUUCUUCCUGUUAAAAUCCACAAUUGCUAUAUGCUUUUAACGUUGCAGACAACUCCUACCAAAGUUAGGUACUUUCCCUCUUUCUUUCUCUCCAGGACUCCGAAGUCAAUAUCUCCCCUUACAUGGUAGAUUACAUGUUCAUCUACUAUGAUUACAAUGUUAUUAGUAAAAGCAUAAAGCAAAAAGUAAAUUUCUGAAAAAGUAAAAGGACAAAGCAAACUGUUACAUGUGAUACCUGGUUCUUGCAAUUUAGUUGUUCCCUUCUGCAGAUUUUUUUCCCUUUUCAUCUUUAACAUUACCAUUCGCUAUUGCCAAUUUUGAAAACAUCAGUCUGAACAUAGAGACCCUCGGCGGUCUAUUACCCUCGGGUGUUAUCCAUUUUUUGUAAUUUUGAGGGCCAAAAUGACAAUGUUUAUAACUUGAGAAUUUAAAAGGAUUUGUACCACAUCUAUCUAUGCUUUUAUUUUAAUUCCAGGCUAUACGCGGUGCAUUUGGACUUUUGUCCCUGUGACUCUAUUGUUUGAUAACAAAUUUGAUAUAUACUUCUUAACAGGUCAUCUGUGGACGAUGGCAAGAAAGCAAGAAAAUAUUUUCGUAUCGAGGAGAUUCUAAUUGGCUCGGAUUUAGCAAGGUAAGAACAAAGUUUAAAUGUAGUAUGCUAAUUAUCCGAGCCCAGUUGGCUAGUUUGCUGUAAAUAAUUGGCUCGGAUUUAGCAAGGUAAAAUUUACAUUUGUAUAAGACCUAACAUUCUUGUAAACCAUUCGGGGUGGCCCAGUAGUUUGGGCUUGGGACUUCCAUGUUGGAUGUCUCAAGUUCGAAAUCCCUUGCCAACAAAAACAAGGAGUUUGCCUUUUGGGUCGGGCUUGCCUAGUGCACAUUACCUCUCCUAUGUGGUUUGCGAGCUAUUGCAGGGUUUUACGCACCCAAAAGUAGCGGCUGCGGAUUUCCUCAUCAUAAUCUUGUAAUUUCACCUCCAUUUAAUUCAUCCAAUUGUUAUUUUUUGACAGUGUUCAGACAGGGAUGUCUUGGGGGGUUGGUCCGACUCAGGUAGCUUAUUUGUCGCUGAUAUCCGUGCAGUGAACGGAUUACACCUUCCUGCUGCAACCAGUGUUUUUUAAUUUGAUUUGAUUUUACGGCGGGGCAGGGCGUAUGCCUGUAAGCCCCCAACGUUAAAUUUUAACUUUUGUUGUUUUGAAGUAUUUUUGCUAUAUAUUGGUGUUAUUUAUACUUUAUGUUAUUAUGUUUGAGAUAACCUUACCCGUGUUUUGGAGUUAACGCCUAGCCUACUGUUGUAUAAAACACCUCGCCUCACCUUUAAAUGAACUUGUUUCUCUUCAUCCUGCAUUUUACUCCAUCCUGUACACAAGUCAUGCAACACUCGAGCCAUUUGUUGGUUAACAGCAUCAAUUAUCUUGAUAAGAUUGUCGUUUAAAACUCUGUAUGAAAAAGAUCAAGAGUGCCCCGAAAGCCCCAAAGAACGGAAAUGGAAUUUGAUUUGUGUGGUUCCUUUUUACAUAUUGAAGUAUUGAAUAGUGUUAUAUGAUAUUUAUUGUGCAGAGACAUUACAAAUAAUAGAUAAAUUAAUUGAAUCGCAGCAAUUUAAUUCUCAUAUCAUCAUUUAUUGGAAGAAAAAAGAAGAGAGAAAGCGUUACAUAAGUUUGAAAUGGUGUACUUAUUUACUACAGGUGAAUGAGCCAACACAACAAGUUCUUUCUUUUUCUUGUUUUUGGAAUUUCCUAUCAAGACUUUUGUCAAAAUUAUUCUCUUUGAUUCAAAUUACUAUUAUUUUGUAGACUUUACAUUAAAUAUCUGCUUUGAUAUAUGUUAAUUUAAAGCCAGUCCAAUUUCUUUUAAGUUGUUUCCCCCAGAAGUUCUCAAAUUCAAUGUCUGAAGUUGAGGAUUCUUAGAUCAAACAAAAUUAUAUGAAGUUUGAACUCAUUCAAAUAUCAAGCAUUGUUUGAUACUUUUUAACUUUAGACACAUACGGAAGGUUAAUAUUUGGAGUGUUAACCUCAUUAUUUUCAACUUCAAUUUAGCAAAUUUGAAUACGACUUUCAAGACUAUUAAAAUUUAAAUUUUGAAUCAAUAUAAACAUAAAAUAUUUUUAAUUAAUGAAAUGACUUUUUAUUUUUUACAAUUACAAAUAUUUUGAGAAGAAGUCAUAAAAAAUGACCAAUAUGUUGAAUUGGAGCAAAUUGAAGGAGUCAAUUUAGAUGAAUCUUUCAAAGGUCAAGAUAUGUAAGCAUUGAGGAGACAAGAUCAACUUGCACUAAAGCAAUUUAUUUUCUUCUCAAUUAUUUUUGGACCCUAAAAAAGUUUAUUGAGCUCCAAUAGGGUUGGGUCCACCCCCAAAAUAAAACUUUUGGACAAUACUUAAUAUGGACCUACCUUUAUCUAGACUAACCCCUCCAAUGCCUAUGGAAAUGUACCACCUCUCCACUCCAAAACCCUAACUACCAAAAACAAGGAAAAGAAAUACUACUUUCUCUGUUUCACAAAAAAUAUCCUGAUUUAAUUUGGCAUGAAAUUUCAAAAAAUAAAGAAAAUCUUUGAAUCUUGUGGUUCUAAAUCAAAGUUUUGUUAAAUGUACAAAAAUAUUUUUUAAUUUUGUGGUCCUAAACAUAGCAUGUGAAAAGCAGAAAUUAAAAUUUAACUUAAAAAAAAAGAUAUCAUUUUUUUUACAUCUUUUUUAAACAGACUAAAAAUAAAAGCAUGUCAUUUUUUAAAAAUGGAGAAAGUACUAUAAAUUAAAUAGAUAACUCAGUUGUAAGAGAUUAUUCUUUUUUAAACAGACAAAAAAUGAAAGGAGGUUAUUUUUCUUUUGAAUUAGAGGAAGUACUAUAAAAUUAAGUAGAUAACUAAGUCGUAAGGAUGUGACUUAGUGCUAAUUUUUCUUAUUUAUCCGAGUGAUGGCAUUUCACUCCGUAUAUAGGUCGAUGUCAUGAUUUAAUUGAGGAUCAUUCAAAUUGAUCUGGACACCAAAAUUAUAAGAAAAUGAAUAGGUUACUUAAUUUAUUUCUUUAUUUUUUUAUGUUUCACUAUUCUAAUAAAUGCAAGUUGCUAUCAAGGGUUUUUUUGAUAGUGACAAAAAAUCAGUUUUGGAACAAAACUAGUAAAAAAAUUGGGAUUAGUGAUGGAACUAUAUCCUACUAAUUUUUUAGACUGUGGACCCUGGAGUUCUGGGACUUUGCAAAAUCACAUGCUUUGUGCUUCUUCCUUCUUUAAAGUUUUUUUUGUAUAAAUCUAAUUUAGUAGUAGCUCAACUUUUAAUGACUUUUUUUUGUUCAUUUUUAUUUUCUCAUUGUAUAUAUUAAAAAUAAAUGUUUCAUUUUACUUGUUUAGUUUUUUUUUUAAUCUUAUGUCUAUUUAAUCUUAAUUAUUACUCCAUUCUGUUAAUUACUUCUUUUAAGGAGUCAAAGUCAAAUUGAAUAUGAAUAAAUAAAGAUAAAUAAAUGAAAUGUUACUACUUACUAGUAAAGGCAAAACAAAUAAGAAAAUGAAUUUGAUUUUCAUGGCUAAAAGUUCACUUAAUUAUCUUACUUUUCAAUCCCCUAAAAAGUGGUUUAAGGAUAGGCCAUAUAUUAUGAAUAUAAUAUAAAGGAAACUUUUGGAAAAGUGAAACUUGAAGCACAAGUUUUGGUACUUUUUUUAAUGGAUAUUACUAAAUACUAAUCAAUUAUUAGGAGUCCUAAUUAUUAAUCAAUUAACUCCUGAUUUGAUUGGUUUUCUACAUUUGACUAGUUGAUUUCUAGAGAAAUUAAACACCUCAAAACUUCCCAUAGAUAAAUAGUGGCUAAACACCUAAUAUUUCAAAAUAAAAGGAAAAAAUAUCUUGUUGCAAUAAUAUUUAUAAAAGAAAAAAUAGAAGAUAUUUAUUUCUCCGUGGAUCGCUUGAUCGAUGGAAUAAGAAAUUUCAAAUUUUGAAAGUUAAUUUUUUCAUAUUUAGUGCAAUUUUUUAUAUCAUAAUUAUACCUAUUUCUAUACCAUAUUUUAUAUGGGACAAAAAUUUCAAAAUUACUAUAAUUUUUUUUUUUCGAUGCUUUCUCCCAACAUUUUGUAAGAGAAGUCCAAUUAAACUAAACACAUGAUAUAUAUAUCUCAUUUUUAAUCCAACAUAAUCUAAUAUUUAUCAAUAAAAAUAUAUAUUACACUAAAGAAAAUCCUAUAAUUAUUUAAUUUUUAUAUUAUAAUUUUGAGGAUGACUGGCCAGCAAUCAACCCUUUUUAAAGGGGAUAAGAGAUGCAUAUUGAUACGUCCUCUUAGACAUGUGGAUAUGUUUAAUUAAAAUGCUAUAAUUUUUUUAAUCUAAUAAAUAUUAAUUAAUUGUGAUUCCAUGCUUCUUAAGCUUAUGACAUAUCCCUAUUAUAAUUCUGAUAAUAUUAAAAUAGUUGAGAGGACGGAACACCACAAUAUUAUAUAACAUGACCCCAUCUAAGUUGGCCAUUUUAUUUAAGUAUGACAACAACAACUUAAUAGUUCAAUUAUUCACAAAUUCUUAUGACAUUCUACCAUAUUAUCUUUGGUGAUUGUGAUAGAUUUUUCUAAUAUCUUAAACCAUUUAAAUAUUUUAUACAUUUUUGCGUUGCACGAUGAACUUAAUUAUUAAAAAAAUAUCUUCGAGAAGAAGACCCCAAACCUACUAACUAUAUAAUAUAAAUUCACGAUAUCUACGAUAUAAAUUUCUUUUGUUACAAUCUAUUAUUUGUUUUGAUGUGAUUAAUAAGAUAUGGAUCUUUCAUAUAUCUUAACUUGUAUAAUGUAUAACGCAUGAUGAUAUAUAUAAUGUUAAGAAGAGUUGAACUUUAAAUUAGAGAAAAUAUUCACAUGUUUUAGUAGAGUUAACUGAUAUUCAUUGUUAAUUAAGGAGGAUAGGAAUAUAAUAAAAUUGACUGAUGUAUAGAUAAGUUAAUUCGAAAAUCAUGAUUAUAAAAGAAUAAAUAAAUGACAACUAUGGUGUUUGUUAAAAGUAGGAAAAUAGAAAGUGACAAUAGGUCCCAUUGCUGAAUUCCAUCUUGGAUUUUGAGAUAACUAUGUGAUGUUUAUAUGAAUUGUUCAUAUUGGUUGCUAAGAAAACAUGGAGUAUAAUUAUUAAUUAAGCUACCGAUUAAAGUAAAAUGGGGAUUUUUUCCGAUUAUUCUCAGAAAAUGGUUUGUCUCAUACCUUUUUUCCCUUUUAAACUCUCUAAAGAUGCACCUAUAUUAGUUUUUAAAAGGGCUAACUUUCACAUAUAGCAAAAAAAAAAUUCAUAUUUGUAUGCUAUAGCAAAGUUUGCAUAAUUGCGCUCCAUAGCAAACAUAAAACUGUAUAAUUCGCUAUACAUAUACAAUUGUAUAAUUCGCUGGCCUAAAUUGUAUAAUUCGCUGGCCUAUUUCGCUGCAAUUAUAUAAUUUGCUUUGCAUACAGUUGAAUCGAUUUAAAAUGUGUGUAUAUUGCAUAAUUAUAAGUGUAUAGCAAGAAGAUAUAUGUUUUUCUCGCUUUAUACAAAAACAGAAACACAAUAUAUACACUUCUGUUGUAUAAAGCUAGAGAAAAUUGUAUUUCACUGCAAUUGUAUAAUUCGCAAUUGUAUAUUCGUUGGCCUUUUUCUCUGCAAUAUUUGAAGUAAAAUGUUUGUAAAUUGUAUAAUUAAGUGUAUAGCACGAAGAUAUAUAUUUUUGCAUGUGUAUAUACAAUUUUCUCUCGCUUUAUACAAAACAGAAAUAGAAUUAUACACUUCUGUGUAUAAAGCGAGAGAGGCGAGCGAGAUUUCUGAGAGAGAGACGCUGGCAAAUUUUAGAUAACGUAUGCUAUGGAGCACAACUAAAUCAAACCCUAGCUAUUUCAUUUAUUUUAGGUUAUUAGUUUGCUAUUAUAUAAAAUUUCUCAAUAAUAUGAAUUGGAUAUUUAAUUAAUGAUAAUUAGUUAAGUGUAUGUGUUUUUACACGUGUAAAUCAUAUUAAUUAAUAAUAAUUAUAUAUGUAUGAAAUAAACGCAGUUUAUGAUUACUUGCAGUUUUGGAUUUGUUAUUUAUGUUUAGUUAAGAUUUGUUAGUUAGUUAGGCUCAUAGUCCUAAUUUACUUUGGUCGUUGUUAGUAUUAUGACUUAUGAGUUUCUAAUUCUAGUUUACUAUGGUUGUUAGUAUUAUAAAUAAAAGUAACUUAUUACAUACACUCGAUGUGUAGAGAGAUACACUCGAUGUACAAAAAUACAAGAGUUAUUGAGGUUAUUUAAUAACUCUUCUACCUCCUAUUUGUUGAUUAAUAGAUUUCUUCUAUAUAGAGGGUGUUUGGUACGAAGGAAAAUGAUUUUCUACAAAAUAUUUUUCUAAACCUGAAAAAUAAGUAGAUUUUGGACUUAUUUUUUCAUGUUUGGUUGUUGAGUAGAAAAUAUUUUUUUGAAAAUGAUUUUUAGUGUUUGAUUUAUAAAUGAAAAAUGUUUUAAUAAACAUAUUUUAUUUUUACUAGAGUAGAAAAUAAUUUCUGAAAUUUAACAUAUUUUUUAAAAACAAAAUUAUUUUUUUGGGGGGUGGGGGUGGGGGCAGGGGGAGAGGGGAGGGGGAGGAGUGGAAAAAAAAUUGAACUUGAUAAUAAUUUUUAAAAAAAAAUUGGGGAGGGGGGUAGGAGUUUAAAAAUAAAAAUUCAAAGUUGAAAAUAUUUUUAAAAAGCAAAAUUAUUCUUUUGGGGAAAGGGGGGGGGGGCUGGCCGAUGGUGGGUGGGUGGGUGAAGGGUUAGGGACCGGGUGAAAAAAUAAAAUUUUGAAAUUGAAAAUAUCUUUUAAAAAUUGAUAUUUUUUUUCAAAAAAAAUGUAAUUUGAAAUUAGAGGAGAGUUUUGGAAAAUGUUUUCCAUAAUUUUUUAAGGAAAAUCAUUUUCCUUAAUUUUGAGAAUAAUGAAUUGAUUUUAAAAAAAAUUUCAAAUUUUUUGUCCCAACCAAAUAUUAAAAAAUUGAAAAAUAUUUUCCAGAACACACUCAAAAAAUCAUUUUUUGGGGUUUUCACUCGUGCAUAUAUUACUGCCAUGAGUAAUUUAUUUCUUUCAUAUUGGCUUGUGUGUCUUGAUAAAAACUUCGUGUGAGAUCUGACAUUUACAAAAGAAUAUGAGUUAGAGGUGGCUCAAUGCCUUUAAAGAUGAGGCAUACAUUUUAAUCUCUAAAAUUGAAGGGGUAAUUUUUUAGUUGUAAUAAAUUUAUUUUAAGUUUUUUUUAACAAAAUAAAUAAAUAAAUAAUGUUUUAAUUUGUUUUGAAACAUUAAAGAGUGUUUCUUUUUCAUGGAUCAAGUUUUAAAUUUAACUUUCACAUGGUAUAUUUAAAAUCACAAGAUUAUAUAUAUAUAUAUUCAGUUUAACAUUAUAAAAAAAUAAUAUUUUUAUUAAAAAGGAAAAAAUAACCUGAACAUCAUAUAUCUGCUAUAUGAGUAUUUCAUAUUUACCUAAAUGCCCUAUUAUUUCUUUUUGUGUUUGAUGGCAAAAAUAAUUUUGGAGUUGAUAUUACAUAUGAAUAUUUUUUUCAAAAUUGUUCAAUGGUCCAUUAUUAAUAUUGGAUUAGUUGAAAUGGAAUUAUAAGACAUAAUUAUAUUUACGUGGUGUUAUGGAUGUGAAGAGAGAAACUUCAACAACUUUGGAAAUAAUUUGAAUUCGCUCAUAUGAAACCAAUAUAAUUAAUUAAAUAUUUAGAUUCAAAGAUGUCGAUAGUCUAAAAAUUUAGAUCCAAAGAUAUUGUCGCUGGUUUAAGAAUAGAUUAGUAUUAGAAGAAAGUAUUAGAGAUUCAAAGAUAUUGUUGAUGGUCUAAGAAUGAAUAAAAUAGUAUUAAAAGAAAGUAUUAGGAUAAGUUAAAUUUAACUUCUCUCAAGUUAAAGAGUUAAAGAUUUUCAGACCAAAAAGAAUAGACGUUGAGUCUAUGGCAAAUCUGAAUAUUUUAAAGCUUGGUGAUCUAAAUGGUAAAUUUACCAAUCUCUUAUAUCUAAAAUUAUUUCAAAACGAAAAUAACAAUAAUAAUAUAUCUAGUGAAAUUUCACAAAGUUAAAACUGAGCCAAAGUAAAAAAAUGAGUAAAGUAGAGUAUACAUAAAUUUUAUUACUCCCUCAUGAAUAUAGAAGUUGUUUACGGGAAACCCUUGAUUUAAGUGUACCAAACUAAAGUGUAAAAUUUACCAGAGAAAAACAACGACAACAACAAAAUAAAUGGGAAAACAUAAAGCAAUAACAACACAAGACCACUCACGGCCCUAAACCUCACAAGGAUAAGAUAACACUCUACGACACCUACUAAUCUUGUACAUAAUACACAAUUAAUCACCUCUUCUUUAUACUUUUUCGGUCUUCAAAAUCUUGUAUUGUGCACUUGACCAAAUAAAUCAAGUUAUUUAUAGAAGGAUAAGUAUAUUACCUGUGUGAAGCUCUAUUUAUUUUUUGACACAUGAAUAAGUGGGUCAUUUAUGUACUGCAAAAACUUUUUACAUUUAACAAGAAAGAGAAUAUACUUACACAUAAAUUGAGUUGAAAAAAUAUAAAAAAUGCAAGAAAAAUUAUGUGUAUUUGCUACUUUUUUUUAAUCAUUAUUAAUAUUAUAUUAGUUUGUGGAAUUAUAGUCUUAUAAAGGAUAUAUUGUUGUUAUUGUAGUUGUAUAUUAGUUUCACAAAUUUAUUUUGAUAUCAUAUUAUUCUGUGUAUUCAUGUUGUGUUUUUUUUUAAAAAAAAACUUUUAUAAUUUUUGUGAUUUUUAAAUGUAGUCACUUUAAUUUAGUUGUUAUAAUUUGAAAUGUCCAUUGUUACCUUAUUUUUAAAUUAGAACUUCUAAAGGAAAAUAAAAAAAAGUUAAUUAUAUUAUUAUUAUUAUUAUGGGGGUGAUUGUUUAAAAUAAAAUAUCGCUACUCAAAGAAAUAGUUUUUGAAAAGUUUAAACUUCGUUUAAGUUAGUAAUUUUAAUGAAUAGUCUAUACAUAUUAAUUAUGUUGGUACUUGCAAAUUUAGAACUUAAAACAUCAGGUGGAUGAUAAUUAAUAGGCAGAAAGUACAGAAAGUGGUAUCAUAAUUCUUGGUGACUUAUAUAACUAAACGUAUUCUAUUCAUCUCCUAAUUACCUUACCAAUUUUCAAAAUGAUUAUUCAUAUUCUUGACAAUUUUUUUGUGGAAGAAAUUCUACACACACACACAUAUAUAUGUGGUGUUUUCUCCUUGAGUUGAAUAAAAAAAAGGAUGCUGAGAAUUAUAUUGUGUUUAUAUUAGAGGUUAGCAAGUAUAGUGAUGAAGAUUAAAGCGAGAUAAGAAAGAAAUUAUAUAUCGAAUGAAAGUGUUGUUUUGAUGGAGCUUUAAAUUUUCGACUAAUCUAAAGUUAUUUGAGUUAUGCAUAUACACUAUUAUAUUCUUAAGUGGAUAAGUCAAAAUAAUAUUACUGUCUACUCGAUUGAUAAAUAUUAUAUUAUAAUAAAUUUAAAUAUUUUUUUAAAAAAAUUGUUUCAAUCCAAAUACUUAUUUUAUUUUUUUAAUAAUAACUUUCUAAAAUUUAUAACUCAUUCAUCUAAUACAUUACAUUUAUUAAAUAAAUAUAUCAUUUAAAUUAAAAUUAUUAAAUUUUAACAAAUUCGUAACUGACUCAAUUGCAUUUGACAUUAUCAAACUCAAGAAAAUGGUAGAAUUCUAGAGAAGUCUAGCGGACCCAGUCCGUCUUACGCCCCAAUAAAGACAUAUCUCUAUACUUCUUUGACAACUGACAACACUCACGCUUUCACCAUACUUUUUGGGUCCAAAUUAAUUAAUAUUGUUUAAAAUUAAUAUAAAGAUAUUAUGAUAAUAAAUAUACAUUUUUUUAUAAUAUUUGUAACUUGCAUUAUUUUAUAUUUUUUAAAAUAUAUAAUUUCUGAAAAAUUUAAAAUAUUAAGUUGAGUUAGGACAGAGGAAGUAAAAUACAAGUUUUAUGCAUUUAUUUGAUUUGACAAAACAUGUGACGUAAGUAUUUUCACUAUCGUUGUAUUAUAGUGAUGAAUACUUGGUCUUCUGCUUGUUCAUCCACGAAGACCUCUUCUUCUUUUUUUUUUUGGGGAUUUAAAAGAAAUGGAUUAAUUAAUUUCCUAUUUUAUAUAUUAUUUUUAGUACAAAAUGUACUUUUAAUUUGAGUGCUACAUAUAGUAGUGACGUACACUUGAGAAAAGAAACGGGUAGAUGAUGAUAAUAAGAACGAGCGCCGCGCUAAGACAGGAAGAAUAUGUCAUGUUAAAGAGUGAAGAAUAAUUUUCGUUUUAUGUAAAUUACGUUUUGAGGUAAUGCUGAAUUUUUUUUUAAAAAAAAUUACUGAUUUAGAUUAUAAUAUGGUUAUAUUAUUUAUACAAUUAAAUUUGAAGAAAAAUUAUCCAAUCAACAUUUUAAAUAUUUUACUUUUUGAUACAUUUGUCAUUUCAGAUAAGUUUUACACAUAAACUAAUCGAUUUACUUGCUAUUACAAAUUUAGAAUUUAUCAAGUUUGAGGCAGAAUAACGUAACUAAUUUAAUUUGAAGGGAAGAAUAUGCUAUUCUCUCUGAGAUUAAUACUAUUUUAAGGUAUUAGAUUCAAUUUUGUUAAUGGUAAAUUAAAUAAUCUCAUUUCUUGAUUAAAAAAAUGAAUUUGAUUUUUAUCUCAAUUACAUGAUGACUAACAUGUAAGACUCUCUCUCGUUUGAGACGUAAGAUAAUCAAUUAGGUUUCUAUUUUUUUUUUCAAUUAGAAGCCAAACAUGUCACUAUUAGAAUAUAUUUAGUUAUGUAAUUUCUUAAUUAAGGUAAAAUAAGAUGAUAACGUUGAGUGGAAUAAUUAGAAAUAUUAACACCUGUAAUUCUCUAGAAAUAUAUAUAUAUUUCUUAAUCAUGUUUAUUCAAUAUUACCUCUCCUGUUCAGUUUAGUCGUAAGUUGUAAUGGUACAUGUUACUCUUAAAAAAUAAUUAAUUUUGUUAAAUUCUUAAAUUAUGUUAUGCAUUUUUUAGUUUCAAUUUAAUGCUACUAAUUAUUUUCAUCAUAUUAAUCUUUUUAAAUAUUUAUUUGGUAAGGGUAAGGUCAAAACUAAUAUACAAUUAAUUAUUACUUUUUAUUUAAAUUGUUAUUUUAGGUCUUUCAUGUUUAUUAAAAAAAAAUUACUAUAGAAAAAAGGUGUAAUUUACCAAGUUAUUCAUAUUCUUACUAAUUUUACCUUUAUAGAUACUUUCUUUGUUUCAAAUUUAAUGACAAUGUUUGACUUGAUAAUUAUUUUAUAAAAAAAUAAAAGGCUUUUAAAAUUUAUAAUUUAAAAAUAGCUUUAGAUAUUUAUUUGAUUCUAAAGUGAAAUUUGAUAAUUUUUGGGACAAAUUAAAAUGAAAUAUGCGACUGUAUAAGUUAGGAUCAAGGCAAAAGUACAGAUUAAAAUAUAGUUCCUAGGUUACACGAAAACUUAACUAAAUAGCAAUACAUUCAAAAGAAAACAAUUAUUUAUAUGAUUCUUUUAUUAUGUAAAAUAUCGCUUAUUUAAAUCAAAAUAAAAUAGUAAAAAUGUCACUUUUAAUCUAAAAAAUCGAAUAAGAGGAAUCGAAUACUUCUAUAAUAUAAAGAAUAUAAUUUGAAAAUAAUUCUCAAUGAUACUCCUGAAUCCUUAAACUAACUAUUUUGGAAUAAAAUGAUAAUGAAAAUAACACAUGAGUAUGUCACAAUUUUUUUAUAUCAAUAAGCAUGACGAUUAAGAUGGAUCGAAAGAAUACUCUUCUCAUUUUAAGAAAAUGAUAUUUAAUUUAAAAAUUAAAAAUAAUUUUUUUUGAUACCGCAUCUUUCAACAUAUUUUUAGAAAAUAAUUAUGAAAUGUAUGCCUAACUACAUUUCUAAUAUCUAUUAUCUUAGAUUAUAUAAUAUGUUUCACAAGACUCUGUCAGCUGAGGUGACCAAAAACGUUCACCCAAAUAGGACAUAUUAGACAUUUAAUUUAAUCUCGGCCCUUAAAUCAAACAAAUAAAGUAAAUCCAAUGGAUAAAAGUCAAUAUUGUAGAUUAUUCUUUUUGAAAAAUUUAUGUUACACGUUCUUACAUUGGCCCAUCUAAAUUGAACUUCAUACGCGUUCCUUGCGUGUGAUAGUACGUGUUUACUUGAAAAUUUAAAUCAAAAUAUUUAUUUACGUCCUAAUUAAUGAUACUUAGCCCUCAAUUUGGAUAUAUUCCCUCUGUUUCUGUUUAUUUGUUCAUAUUUCUUCUUUUAAAUGUCCUUAUUUACUUGUCCAUUUUGAUAAAUUAAGAAAGGACAAUUUUUUUUUCUAUUAUACACUUAUUUAAAUUUCUUGAAAAUUUCAUAGUUUUAAUUCAUCAUCCUUAUUGAAACCAUAUUGAAUAAGGGUAAGAUUGUAACUUUCCUAUGUUAAUUAUUGUUAUCUUAAUAUGUAUGACUUUUAUAAAGUGGACAACUAAAUAGGAACAGAGGGAGUAAAUAAUUUUGAGAUUCUAAAGUUGUUUCUGGAUAUGCAUGUUAUUUGAAAAAAAAAAAAUUCGUGAGUAAAAAAUUUCUAAUAUUCAAAAAUUUGUCUCAAUCAAUUUUUAAAAAUUUGAAAAUAUUUAAAAUUUUAACUAUAUUUUAUAAUUAAAUAGAUGUUGAAAGAUGAAUUUUCCAAUAUUUUAUUUAAAGUUUAUAAGUUAUAAUCAGCCACUAAUUUAAAGAAUAUUUAUUUAAGUUUAUAAAUCAAUCAAGUUUGGAUUAUAAAUAUUUUUAAAAAAUUUAUCUAUGCGUAUGAAAAGUACCAUAAAUGCUUAUUAACCAAAUCAGCUCAACUGGUGCAUUUCAACUUUCGAGAACUUUUAAUUUAUUAUUUAUCUUUUUUUUUAAUUUGAUAUAUCCAUCGUAUCUCAUUUUUUCUUUUUUAACAAAGAUAUAAUUUUUUUUUUAUGUAAAAUUACAAAAGCUUUAGCAAAAAUAAUUCAUUGAAUUUCCAUUUAAGUUGGUGGGUACCUUUUUGAGAAUUUACAAUUUUUACAAUUAUUGAAAUUUCUCUUUCAUCCUUUUUUUUUUUUUUAUAUAUAAAAAAAUAAAAUAAAAUUCCAACAAACCCAUAUACGCGGUGGAAAUUGAGCAGAAUAUAAGGGCGUUUUCCUGCUGUUAGGGUUCCCAAAAAAAUCCUCUCUCUUUGCCUUUGUAGACUUUGUCUUCUUUCUUCAUAAUUCAUUGAUUUUUUCUUAAUCAAUCUUUUCGUUUGCAUUUGAUUGUUGAUAAUUUGGAGAUUUUAAAAGCCAAUUUAAGUUUUUCAUUGCUUUUCUGGGUUUGAUCUCAAUUUCGCGUUUUGAGAUUUCAAAUUUUCAAUUUUGGUUUUUUUUUUGAGUGUUUCAUGUGAAAAAAAGAGUAAUCUAGAAAUGCCAGUUACAGAUUAUCAAGGAGCAUCUGCAUCUUUCACAAAUUUUGGGAGAUCUCUUUUGAGUAUGCGUCGAGAUCAGGUGCAUUCCAUGGAAGCUGCUCAUGAGGCGACUAGUCAAGAGAUUGAACUCGAAGCUUUCCAGAAGCAAGUGGCUGAGCGUUUUAAUGAAUUAUCUUCUGUUGAUUCUGAUCAAUUGCUUUCGGUUCCCUGGAUCCGUAAGCUGUUGGAUGUGUUCCUCUGUUGCCAGGAGCAAUUCAGGUCUAUUUUGUUCAACAACACUGCUAAUUUGAACAAACCUCCUAUGGACAGAUACGUCACUGAAUAUUUCGAUAGGAGUGUGAAGGGAUUGGAUGUUUGUAACGCGAUAAGGGAUGGAAUUGAGCAGAUAAAGCAGUGGCAGAAGCAGUUGGAGAUUGUUCUGUGUGCAUUGGAAAAUCAGAGGUGUGUUGGUGAAGGUCAAUUUCGUCGUGCUAAGAAGGCUUUGAUUGAUUUUGCAAUUGGUAUGCUUGAUGAGAAGGAGUCUAAUACAUCUGUGGCUCAUAGAAACAGGUCAUUUGGCCGAAACAAUACUCAGAAUGAUCAUAAAUCUUUAGGCCAUUUUAGAUCAUUGUCAUGGAGUGUUUCUAGAAAUUGGUCUGCUGCUAGGCAGCUUCAAGCAAUUGGUAACAACUUAGUUGCUCCAAAAAAUAACGAAAUUGCUGCUACCAAUGGAUUAGCGUUGGCUGUUUUCACAAUGAGUUAUGUGUUAUACUUUGUAAUGUGGGCACUUGUGGCAGCAAUACCAUGCCAGGACCGUGGGUUGCAGACCCAUUUUUAUGUGACUAGGCAAUUCGUUUGGGCCGUCCCAAUCCUAUCACUCCAUGAAAGGAUUUUGGAGGAAUCGAAGAAGAGGGAUCGUAGAAAUGCUUGUGGAUUGUUGAAGGAGAUUCAUGAGAUGGAGAAAUGCGCUCAUCAUAUGAAUGAAUUGAUCGAUACGGUUCAUUUUCCAAUCACAGAGGAAAAAGAUGGAGAAGUGAAGCUAAGAGUUCAUGAACUUGGGCUUGUUUAUGAUGGUUUAAAGAAUGGAUUAGACCCUUUAGAGCGCCAGGUUAGGGAAGUAUUCCAUCGAAUUGUUCGGAGCAGGACUGAAGGCCUCGACUCAAUCGGACGAGGGAAUCAUGAGUGAAACAAUUGUUGGGAACCCAUCAAUUUAGAAUAUGAUAUAUAGAUUUUCCCUUUUCAGUUCUUUUCUUUUUUGGACCUUUUUUAGAUGAGGGAGAAUGGUUAAUGGUGCCAGAAAAAUAAGUAGUUUAAAGAGGUGAAAAUAAUGUAUUCUCACUUCAUAUUUGUAAAGAAAUUUAGGGAAAAAAUGGAUCUUUGAUUCAUUUUUGGUGAUAAUCAUCUUGUUUGGGAUUGUAUAAUCACUUAUGACUUAAGUUUGCUUUUCUAACUCUUUAGCUGGGUUUCCUUUUUCAGUUUCUUUUAGUUGUUGUUGCUUGCAAUCUUGGUGUAAGAGACUCUGUAUGCUUCACUUACGAGAUUACAUUGUUUGUCGUUAUUGAAUUAGAAUUUAAUUAUUAUGAAGCUUAGAAAAUGAGUUUUACAGUAUAAAGGAAUGUCAUUGACUGUUCAGUUAACAUUGUAGUGAUUUUCUGUCUCUGUUCAUCACUUGACCAUUCAGCCUCUGGAAUGGUCAUUUUUAUAUUGAGAUUCAUUUUAUCCCAAAAAACAUUGAUACUUUUGGAGUUGGCUUUGUUGGUCCUUUUUUGUUCUGACAUUAGAGCUGGCUUGCUGUUUUCUACAUUUUCUCAAGUAUCUUCCAUGAAAAAUUUUAAACAAUUCUUCAGCAUGUGAUUUUGGUCAAAAUUCUGGUUUCUUGUUGACUUGGACAUUGUUUUUAUUUAUGGAACCCACGUUUGUUAAUUCUCCUAUGUGAAUAAAUGAGUCAGGUAAGACUAGCAUGACUUUCUUUUCUUAUUCUUUUUUUUUUUUGUCAAAUGAACCCCGGUAGGGAAUGCUUUAGCUCAAUGCGAGAGUUUUUUAUUUGAAUUUAAACGAGCAAUUUUUUCAUAUAGUAAAUACUAAUAAAUAUAAUUAUAUAUAAUUCGUUAUACAUAUAUAAAAAAAUCAAUUGUAUAAUUUGUUAUAUAUAUACGAAAGAAAGCAAUUGUAUACAAAUCAAUUGUAUAAUUUGUAUAUGUAUUAAACGAGAAAUAGAGAAAGACAAAAAAAUAUUGAGCAGGAGAAUAUUUGUAUUGUAUAAUUAUAAAUGUAUAGGACGAACAUAUAUGUAUUUGGAAAUGUAUAUACUAUUUUCUCUCGCUUUAUACAAACAGAAACACAAUUUAUACAUUUUGUUUCUAUUUGUAUAAGCUAUGGAAGCGAACAAGAUCUGAGAGAGUGGCGAGAGAGAUCUGGGAGAGGGGAACGAAAAAAUAUAUGUAUAUAUAUAUUUUUUUUCUCGCUUUAUACAAACAGAAACACAUUUUAUACACUUGUGUUUGUAUAAAAGUGAGAGGGAGCAAGCGAGAGAGGGAGAGUGGCGAGCGAGAGUUUGAGGGAGAGAGGUGAUUGACAAACAAUUUGCUAUAGGUCACAACUAAAUCAAAGUGUGGUUAUAACAUUUAAUUUGAUUUAUUAGUUUAUCAUUAUAUAAAAAUUUUCCAAUUUAAAUUUAGUUGGAUUUCAAUAUAGAUUUUAAACAUCAGAUGGAAAACCAAAAGAAAAUGUAUUGGGACAAUUUCCGAAGUUAUAUACAUUGACAAGGUAAAGAAUUUACACUAUCAAUGCAGUCAAAUUCAGGCAUUUCAGUUCUUGGUCGUUCAACAACCUUUAGGCCGUUUGGCCAUAGAUUUAUCAAAUAAUAUUUGGGAAAAAAUUUGGCAAAUAAUGUUUGUUCAUCCAAUUUGUCAUUAUUUUGACAAAUAUCCCAAAUUUUCAAAUACUAGUUUUUUUUAGUAUUUGGGUCAAAUCUCGGAUCUUUUAAAAAUUAAAAUUUUAUCCCAAACUUUUAUCUUUUACAAAAACAUUCUCUAUAGUAGUUGUUUGCGUUGUAUUACAUAAUUUUUUACGUGAACACCAAAAUGGGUGAUGAAAUAUAUAGUGAAUAUUAAAUAAUGAUAUGAUUGUUGAUGAAAAUGAUGAAAAAUUAGCUCAAGCUAACAAAAUCAUGUGUUUCGUCUACUUCACGAUGUAUGUAAUGAUGUUUGUUGCACUCACUCCAAAUUACCACAUUGCUCUAGUGUCAUGAACACUAUUUGUUAUUGUUGUAACAAACAUUCAAUUGACUUGUAAUACAAACUUAUAGUUAGUUUUGAUAGUUUUUAAAACUUACGAGUAUAAAUCAUAUUUUUUAAAAAAAGAUGAAAUAUAUUUUCCAAAUCUUAUGGCCAAACACAUAGUGAAAUUUCACCUAAAUUUUUAGUUAAAUAAUAUUUGUAAAAAAUAUUCAAAAAUUUAUGACCAAACGCUAACUUAAUAUGGAGUUAUUAGUUUCUAAGAUUCAAAAAUUGUGAUGUUAAGUCUAUAUAUUUAUGUGUUAUAUACUACUUUCUAAUAUAAAAAUAGUGUAAUUUGGGUCAAGGACAAUGGGGGCUUCAAAUAGGUUAUUAUUCUAUUGUCAAGAUAACAAUAUCAGACUUGAUAUACAAACUUACUUGUUCUAGUAAAUCACCUUUUAAUUAUAAAACAAACUGUAUACAUUACCGUAAAAUGUUUAUGUCUGCGUUAAGUGUACACAUAUCUUACUUCUAUUUCUGAGGUAGAAAGAAAUUUUUUUUUAAUUGAUUCUCAGCUCAAGAUAUAAUAUUCUUGAAAAGAGGAAGUAUGGAAGUAUAAAAAACAACAAAUAAUAACAAAAAAAAAAACAGCUAGUAAUAGAACAAAAACUUCAACAACAUGAUAUGAUAAUUGAGGUACAAGUAACAAAGUGUGAAGAACAAGAAACUACAUGAGCAAUAUUGACUACUAUAUAAACGAUCUUUUUUUAGUAACCUUUUGUUCUAAUUCGUAUUCUCCACACCUUCCUACACUAUAAUGUAUAAAACUGAAACUUUUUCCAACAAAUCUUGUUAGUUUGUUAAUAUGAUCCAAACACCAGAAACAAACAAAAGGGGCAUCUUAAAAAAAAAACUUAAUCAAUCUCACAUGUUUGAUUAAUUUGUCAAAGCAUUGAGAACAUGGUAAAAAAAAUUGAACUCAACCCCUCCUACCCCCUACCCCACACCCUAAACCCCUUCUAGAUUUUGAUAUUUUUAUGGCCAGCUAAUUGCUCAUUUUGAGAACUGGAUCAUAGCUGGCAUGUUUGUUAACAUCAUCAAUAAGUUCAAAAAUCAAGAUUUGACAUUAUGCAAUAUAGUAGUAGCUACUACCAAUUGGAUAAUGAGAGGCCACUAAGUGGUAAGAGAUAUUUGAGGCAUUCUUUGAAUGAAUCUACAAGUCUUUUGAAGGGUGUGCUUUAAUUGCCAUAUAUAAUAAAUAUAUGUUGCAUAUUAGCUGGCUGAAUAUAUAUAAUAUUAUGGCAGGCAACAAAGAAAGUGGACCUCAACAUUUUUUCCAAUAUCUAGGACAAGUUCUAUAUUAAUGGCUUCUAUCUAUAGGACAAAAAUGAAGUAACUGCCAAAUUAUUGCUUUUUGACAUUAUUAAAGUUUUAACCAUAUUGACCUCAAUGCCAGAUUAUGUUUCUCUUUUUUCAAUCGAUAUUUCAGAAGCAGUCUCUUUAAAUCACUAGUAGGAAUAAGAUUUAUGCAUGUUCUAUCUUUUUCAGAUUUAAUUUUGUAAAAUUAUACUAAAUAUAUUAUUGUUAUUUGAUGUUUAUUGUUUUAUAACGCUUAUUUGAAUGAUUUUUCAUUCUCUUUUAUUUUCUUAAUUUAAUAAAGAAUGAGUGGAAUACAAAAGUUAGUAUGUGUAUAAGAAAAUAAUUGGAAACCUAACCUUGCACGAAAUACCAACGAACUAGUGCAUGCAUCCUAGCUCAUUGUGGGAUUAAUUGAUAACAUAUGUAUGUGGUAGUCAUCAUUAAAACAUUUUGUGAGAAUUUGUUGGUAUAUUUUAAAAAACAUUAAGAGUAUUUUUUUUAAUGUUUUGCUUUAGAUAUUUGUUUUUCAAAACUCACUGACUCGACUAUUCUGAUAAACCAAUUAAGAAAGUACUUUUUUUUGUCAUUUUUCAAAACUCAAAUCUCUAUCAAACUAAGUUUAAGCUAAUCGAGAAAGAGAGUGAGGCUUCCAGCCAUAUUCGAAAAGUUGAGUAAAAGUUGUAUGUUUGCCAAGGCAAUAUUAGAUAAGAUCCUACGAGUCCUCUUAAUUUUCAAAAAAUGAAAAAAUUUCAACUAUUUUAUCUGAACGGUGAAUAAUUUUUAUUUAUUGAAUUAUAUAAUUAGAUAGAAACAUUAUAGAAAAUAACUACUAACGAAGCAGCCAAAUAAUUAGAUGCAUGAAAAUGUCAUGUGGACAUCUCAACUGCUACUUACUAACAAGUUGCAAAAUUUGGAAUAAGAUUGAACCAUGCCAUUGACAUUAUAUUAUAUUAUUAUUUAGCUUCACGUGACAUCAUUGAAUCCUUUAUUAAAUUCCAAAAGGUCUUCAAUUCGUUGGCACAUCCUCUAUAGAAACCCCUAUUAUUUAGAGUAUAAAUUAAUGUUGCCUUUGAUAUUGGCCAAAUUAUUUCUUAUAAAAUUCAACAAGUAGGUAAUAUUUUCUCAUUUUUUGAGGGUUGCCUAAAAGCAUUAAUGUAGCUAUAAGUUUUUUAGAAAAAUUCUAUUUUAGUAAUUAUUUAAUGUUUUUUUACAAUUUUUUUUUUGGAGUUGAGUAUAGAUUAUAUAUAUAGAAGAAGUUUUUUUUUUUUAAUUUUUUAAUUUUAUGGUUUGACUUUGCACCUAAUUGGUAGAAUGUAAAGAUUGUAACAGCACGAUUCAUCUUUAUUAUUUAGCGAGGACAGCUAAUUCGAUAACCAUUUCAUUAAUUACCAUUAAAAUUGUACAUAAGUUUCUUAUCCAUUAACUUCCUUUUUAAAGCAAAGAGGCUAUCUGAAUAUUUUCCUCUUUUAAUAAGAAAUAAUUUGUGUCAUUAUUAUUUGAAUGGAUAUUCACGGCAAUAAAAAUAAUUUUUCGCGGUAUUAAAUAUUAUCAAUAAUAAAGAGUGUUAAAAUUUUAACAACAUUAGUUAAGUGAUAUUAAAAUCAACGCCGCUAAAGAUUCCAGGGACAUAUAUAAAGAAUGUUAAUUGUCGCUAAAAAUACAUAUUUAGCGGUAAUUAAAAAUUAAUUGACGCUAAUGAUAUUUUUUAUGUAGUGAUUUUCUGUUUGAACCAUUAAUAUUGAAGUGUUUUUGUAAUUAUUAUUUUAGUGAACUUCACAUAUACUAAGUACUAUUAAAACAUGUUAGUAUAAUAUAUUAUUUUAAAAUUCUUUUUGGAUACACCGGAUGUGAUGGAAAACAAAAACAAUUCUAAUCAGGAUUAACUGGGAUAAAUUAUAGAGUUACCCCAAAUAUUAUUUUUAUUAAUUGCUUGGUUUGUUACGUUUGUUUUAAAAUGAAUAUGGUGUAUCAAAAUAGGAUUAACACGCCAUUUUGUCAAUAUUAUUUGUAUAAAAAUAAUAAUCAAUAAUAUGGGCAAUGAUAUGAUAAUUCACUCAAAUGAGAUAAGAUUAAUAGAAGUAUAUAUAUACCAAACUUAUAAUAAAUUUGAAUUGUCAUUUUCUAUACCUACCAAAAGUAUAUGAGAGGCCAAAAUGAGAAAAGGUCCCUCCUCUUCCAGUAUGUAACCAGUUUUUAUUAUGCUUUAAUUACCAAAAGUUGGUUUUCUCUCUCUUUUUAAUUAGUACUAUAUAUAUAAAAUAUAAAUAAUAAAUGAUGACAGUUUUUUUCUAUUAUAGAAAAUAUUCUUGUAUAAAUACUUUAUUAUUAUUCACAAUUCCAAAAUCACAAUCUUUUCACUUUGUUCACUCAUUAUUUAUUAUAGUGAUAAUAAAAACACAAGAUAGAUCAAUGAAUUGAGUGUGUGUUGAUUUUUGAAAAUAAAUUAUUGUGGAAUGAAUUGAUUAUUUUUUAACUUUAAGUUGAUUGAAACUAAUCCUUGGAAUUAUUCUAUUUUAUACACACAAUUUAAACAUAGAACAAGUGAGUGAUCACAAUUCAGAAUUAAUAACAUAAUUAAAAAUUUAAUAGCGAAGCAAGAAAUAGAUAAAUAUUUUAAAUUUUUAAAAGCUUAAUCGAACAGACUUUGUUGUUAAUCUACAUCCAUAUUGAUGGAACAAGAGCAUAUUAAGACUCAGUUAAAUCCACCACAAACACAUCACAUGGAUUUGGAAACCAAAUGUCCAAGUCUGAGCCAACUUAUAAUGGAUCAUAACUGACUCUAUAGUCUUAUCAUUGAUUUUUUAUGUAACUUUUUAAGUUGGAGACCUAUCACUUCGUUCUUCAAUUUAUUGUAUCCACAAGUUUUAUUAAAAAGUUGGUGUUUGAAAAUGUAUGAAACAUUAUAUUACAUGUCCAAUUUAGGAUAAAUGUGCAAGGCCAAGAGCAUUAUUAGUGUGUCUUUAUAAGAGAUUAGGCAUCAUAUUAUGCCUUUACCAUUUAUCGACAUAAUGUCAAACUCAUCUCCCCACUCCCACCCACCCACUCACUCUUAAAAGCAUUGAAAUCAUAUGACUAUGAAAUCUAAAAUUAAUCACUCCAACCACCAAGAGUACAAUCAGCUAGAAAUUUUACGAAUGGUGUUCAUAAAAAAGGGAAAAAACUUUUGCUUGUGAAAUUUAAACACGACUCAUUCUAGGCAUCUGGAACACAUCAAAGGGUUCUAAAACUAAUGGGCUACUGCAAUCUAUUAUGUUAAGAGUAUCUAGAAUAUAUUAUUUAAUCGCUUUCAUCUUUAUUGUCCAAGCGCUCCUAUUUCUGUUGAAAAUAUAAUCAAAUUUUGGACUCCUGAUCCAUGGGCCUUGGUGUGAAGGGAGUGUUAGAGUGGGUAAAAGUUUCUCAUUGGUUGAGGGAUGGACUGGUGGUCUCGUUAUAUGGACUUGAGCAAGCCUCCCCUCAUGAGCUAGCUUUUGGGAUUGAGUUACCGUCAGUUGUGAUAUCUUCACGCAAUUUCUCUAGUUGGAAACAAGAAAAUAGAUUUUAUAUAAUAUAUAGAUUCACAUAAAAUUCUGGAUUCAACACUUGUUAGUACAACAAAAGUAGAAUAAUAUUAUUGGAAGAUAUUAAUGGGCUAGGACCUAUUCAUAUUUGAUGGACCUUUUUAAGUUACUGACUAGUGUCAGUAGACCUAUAGUAUAAAUAAUUUGAAAAAGUGUGCGUUGUAAAACAUUGAUAGAAGAAGAAUUUAGAAUCAACCUAAUGCAAUACUAAACUUAAAAAGUGUUACAUUGUGGAGUACAAAUGAAGUCCAAUGGAAGGCAAUGUGCACAUAUUUAACAAGGCCUUUUCCUUUUUUGCUUGCCUAUCCCACAAGACACGCCAUACAAACCCCACUCAUGAAAUUACACCGAUAAUGUUAUUAUUGUAGUCAAACUUUGACAAAACUUCGAAAACAAACUUUCAUGUAUAACAAGUUAUAAUCCUUGAAUCAAAGUAUAAUUUGUAAUGAAGCAAAGUAUAUGUUCUUUUACUCUCAUGUUUAUGUUAGGCAUAUGCAUUUGCAUUGUUCUGGACUUGAAAAAAAACAAACUUUAUUUCAUCUAGCAUAAUCAAAGUUCUUGUAGCGAAAAACCGCGAAAAAUGGAAAUGGAAAUGGGUCUCAAACUAACAAGAGUUGCUAAUGAAUCCUCUUCUACUGAAUUUCAAUUUGCAAAAGACAGAGCUGGCCCUCUUUUCCAGUCUACAGAAACAGACACAAUGUUCAUCCUUACUGUCCAUUUGAAAGGUAAAAUUUUUCUCUUCAUCAUCAUACACACAGUAAUUUUUUUCAUUUUCAUGUUCAUUUGUACUUACUUCUAAUAUGUAUAAACUCUGUAUAUAGGUUAUAUACAAGAAAAUAUUAAGGUUGAUAUUAAUGAAGAAGGGACUAUUAUUGCGAUAAGGGGUGAAAAAUCGGUUCAAGAAACGGUGAUGGUAGGGUGGAAAUUGAUCAAAAAAGAUGUAGAAGUUAGAAAAUUUAGUAAGGCUUUCAAGAUUCCAGAUGGGGUUAUCUUGGAUGAAAUUAAGGCUAGAUUUGAUGAUGAAAUAUCCAUAUUGACAAUUAAAAUGCCAAAGAAAGUAAAAGGGAUUCUUGGAAUUGAAUUUGUUGAAGUGAAGGAACAUGAGGAAUUGCCAAUUGUAGCUAACAAAAUUUCUAAAAAAGUCACAUUUAAAGAAGAUAUGGAUAAGCCAAAAGCAGAGGAAAAUCAAGGAAAACCACGUGAAGUA